CCGUGGCACUGGCCGGUGCUAAAGGGUCUCUGCCCCGACAGCACCUGUCAGUAGCCAUUGGGCAGGGACCCUUUAGCACCGGUUCUUGUUACGAA
rnacentral:pre_miRNA from 1 species